rnacentral:rRNA from 1 species
GACCUACCUUCAAUGGCGGCUUCACCAUUAGGUUAUCUUAAUUCAACAUCGAGGUGAUAAACCUUUUCUUUGAUUAGGGCUCUUAGAAAAGAUAAUCCUGUUAUCCCUAAAGUAGCUUUUAUUUAAAGAUCAUUAUUUCUUUUUUGAGAUUAUAAUGGGUCAUUAUAUCUUACUUUGUAAUUAUUAAAUUGAUUAAUUAAAUAAUAAAUUAUUUUAUUAAUGUAGAUUAUCUCUGUUUUUUUUUAGAGACCAUCGCCCCAAUGAAACUACCAAUCUUUCUUUUAAAUUUUUUAUUUUAAAAUGAUGAGAAAGAUUAUAGUUAAGCUUUAUAGGGUCUUUUCGUCUUACAAUUUUAUGUAGCAUCUUGACUACAAUUUAAAUUUCUUUUUUAUUUUAUAAGACAGAGGAAUUUUCGUUUAACCAUUCAUACUAUCCACCAAUUAAGUGGCGAAUUAUUAUGCUACAUUCAUACAGUCAUAGUUACUGCAGCCAUUUGGUUUAUGUUAUUCUUUUAAGAAAAGUAGUUAAACCAUUGGGCAGGUUGCACCUUUAAUGUUUGUAAGGGCUAUGUUUUUG